rnacentral:lncRNA from 1 species
UAACCCAAAUCCACAAGGAAAUAGGUUAAAACAAUCAGAAAUCCUAAGGGAUAAGGGAAUAAGGGUGCGGCAAAGGUCAAGGGGGGAUAAGGCUUCUAGAAAGCCUUGCAAGGCAAGGGAUUAGGGCAUCUAGAAGGCUAGGGUGCGGCACCAAUGUAGGGAUUAGGGGUUAGGGCUUCUAGAAAGCCCCAAAACUGAUAGGAAAUGUAGGAAACUCACGGCAAGGAGGGAAACACUCUAGAAACUUCUCAUUUGUGUCCUACAAUACUUAGGAGUCCUUCUAGCAUUAGGAAAACAUGUCUCAAUCCUCCCUUGACUUGGAAUUCUUCUCCUUCUUCAUCUUGGAAACCUUUCCUUCUUGGACUUGGAAAUCUUUUCCUUGUAGCUGCAACUUGAUGCCAUUUGGGGUUUACAUUUCCUACUCCAAGUAGGAAACCUUGUUCAAGUAGGGAAUUCAAUCUUCUAGGUUUCCCAAUUCAACUAGGAAACCUAAUUCACUAGGAAUCAUCAUCUUCAAGUCUUCAAUUUCGUCCAUCCUCAUGGCUCCAAGCAUAUGAUCUUCAUUCCAAGCUCUAAUUUGCUCCAAAAGGCUCCAAAAUGCUUCCAUUUGCAUACUUUGCCCUUAAAACCUGAAAACACAUAAAACUAGCUUAAAACACUACUUUACUAAGGAAAAACACUAUAAAUGCACAAGAACAAGCUAAACUAAGGCACAUGAAUAUGCUCCUAUCAUAGGGGUUUGACAUAAUAUAUCCAUACCCUAGUGAUGUGAUUGAGAGUAUUGUUUUAGAGAAGGCUCGAAUUACAUUGUAAUUCCAACUGAAUAGGUUCUCCGAACAACUUCUACAUUAGCUUGGGUAGCCAUGAUAUAUGGUUAGAUGUCACUCAUGGCUUGUGAGUUCUUCUAGAUGAUUAAAUGUAGUAGUCAAAGAAGAAGGUGAAUUAAAAGUAAGUUUUAAUUCACUAAGUGAUUGGAUUAAAUAUUAUCAAUUGGAUUGGUGCCAAUCACCUCAUUGCCUUGCUAAUUAGAACCUAAAACGAUUGUUCACCAAUACACUCUUGUAGUGAGUAACUAAUGGAUGAUGGAAAUAAUUAAUUGGAUUAAUUAGAAUGUCUAAAGAAAUCAUAAAAGCGAUAUAAGAUCGUUUUGGGCUUAAAGAAACGUUCGGGUUUAAUUGGGCCCAUUGGGCCUAAACCCAUUGGGCUUUUAUUCAAGCAUUGGAUGACUUGAAAUAAAUAAAAGCCCAAAGCCCAAACAACACAAAGGGGGCCGGCCAAAGGAGGGAGAGAAAGGUCAAAUGUUGACUUGUUUCUUUUUGGCUAUAAAAGGAACUUUAUAGCAAAUGUUUCAUUAGGGGUUUUUUUUGAAGUGUCAAAAAGAACAAAAGAGAAAAAGAAAAAUAUCUCUCUAACACUCAAAGGGCCGGCCACCAUAGGGGGAUUUUAGCUAAUCAUCUUUUCACCCCUUUGGUUAUUCCUUCAUCCUUCUCACUACACUAGUGGGUGAGGAUCUUUAGAGGUUUUCAAUUUUGGAAACUUGAAGAGAACCUAGGAGCACUCAUACUAAACAAAGUGGAGGAGGCAAGGAAGGAGGCUAGGCUCAAGGAGUUCAAGGAGCAAAGGGCUUGGAGGUGGUCCAUCCUUGGUCUAAGAUCUAGAUCAAGAGGUAUAAAACUACUCCUAAACUUUGUUCUUAAAUAAAUUUGUUUUUGAUGCAUCUUACAUAAACCUAUGCAUCUUGAAGGGGAUUUACAUGACUAGAGCUUUGAUAUUAUUUGAUAACAUGCUUCCGUUGCUUUCGUAUAUAAAUUUUGAAUUGUAUAUGCAUGCUAGUCACUAGAAAUCCCACAUGAAAUCUCAUAAUUUCCCUUCAAUGGUGUCACCGGUUCUCGCAUCUAAGUAGUAGCAUUCCAUUCAUGAGAUCAUAUCUAAAUGCUUAUUUAACUCCAGAAAUUGCUUCCUUUGUUAUACAUUUAUGUGAGCGUUCGUUUUUAUGUCUACAUCAAUCUUCUCACGUAUAACUAGUAUAGGGUGUGUAGUUAGAAAAUCUGAGUGAAAAUUGAGUGCAUAUCUUGUAAGGAAUUGAGCAAAUUCUCUAAGGCAUGUUACUGCAUUCAAAACAUAGUUUUAAUUGGUUAAAUGUGAACUAGUAAGUCGUGACUAUGAUUAAGUAUGUGCUUAAGUGUGAAGAUGACUAAAAUCUGUGGGAAUGGUGAUUUUUAAUAUGUCAUGUGCAUUGGAAAUCCCUGAGGCAAACGUUGGAAGGGUUAGGUUUUGUUUGUUUGUUUUGUUUCAUUUUGUUUAUCUUUUGUUUCUUUGUUUGCUCGAGGACUAGCAAAAGCUAAGUGUGGGGGAAUUUGAUAGGAGCAUAUUUAUGCGCCUUAGUUAGCUAGUUCUUGUGCAUUUUUGUUGUGUUUUUUAGUUAGUCUUUUAAGCCAUUUUCAUGUGUUUUCAGGUUUUAAGGACAAAGUGUGCAAAGAGAUGCAAUUUGGAGCAUUUUGGAGCAAAAUUGUGCUAGAAUGGAGUUCAUGCAUGUGGAGCACAAAGAAUGGACGAAUUUGAAGGAUUGAAGAGGCUAGGAAUGUGUUUCAAAGUUGAAGAAAUAAAGACUUGAAGAUGUGAGGAUUCCUAGUUGAAGAUGGAUUCCUAGAAGAAUGAGAUUCCUACUCAAACAAGGUUUCCUACUUGAAGUAGGAAAGUUAAACCUAAGUGGCCUUAAGUUCCAGCAACAAAUAAGUAAUCCAAGUCAAAGAAGGAAAAGGAAUCCGAAAAGAAGAAGGAUUGACCAAACAAGCUUUCCUAAUCCUAAGGCAUAAAGAUUUCAGCUACAAAAGAGAUUUCUUUUCCUAUUCGGAGACUUAAAACCUGAUUUCUAGAAGCCUUAUCCCUUCCUACAAAGGUGCCACACCUUAUCCCUUGUUUUUCUAGAAAUCAGCCACAAAACAACCUUUCUAGAAGGCCUUCUCCCUUGUCCUACAAAAGUGACGCCCCAAACCUUUCUAGAACUUCUAGAAACCUGAUUAUUCCUUUCCCCCUUGGUUUCUAAAAGCCUUAGCCAUUUCCUUCAAGGAUUAUGUGUUAUUAUCCUAUACAAAAUUAGGCCUUUUAAAUCCUUCUCCUUUGCUACAUAGGGGCUGCGAAUUUCAGCCUAUAAAUACCAUCCUUUGCUGCACCAUUUAGUCACCAUCCUCUACCAUAUUUUUCUACAUUCAUACAUCCCUUAAACACACUCAUCCCUCUAGUGCCGUAGAUUGCAAGGAAGGAGAAAUAAGGAACAACCUGGUGCCGUGCUUAUGCCCAAGCCUUGGGAGUGUUGGAGCGUUUCUAGGUGUUUUCUAUCUUUGAUUUUCAAUGUCUUAAAUUUAUUUAUCUUUGCUUUGUGAGUAUGAGAACUUAAAACCCCCCUUGGCUAGGGGGGAUUCGAAACCAUGUUUAUGCUUGCUAUAUGAUUUGAUUACUUCUAAUUGCGUUUCAUAAGUUGUGAAUUCAAUUUACUUAUCUACAUGAAUUAAAACUAAUUUGUGUAUGUUGGUUGAGAGUGCACGCGCUUAAUUUUCAUGCAUAAGUUUGAUGCUAGGAUAUAAGGGAGUUUCACCUAAUCGUUA